rnacentral:rRNA from 1 species
GUACGGGGGGGGGCAAGCGUUGUUCGGAAUUACUGGGCGUAAAGGGCGCGUAGGCGGCCUAUUAAGUCGGACGUGAAAUCCCUCGGCUCAACCGGGGAACUGCGUCCGAUACUGGCAGGCUUGAAUCCGGGAGAGGGAUGUGGAAUUCCAGGUGUAGCGGUGAAAUGCGCAGAUAUCAGGAGGAACACCUAUAGCGAAGGCAGCUUGCUGGGACGUUACUGACGCUAAGGCGCGAAAGCGUGGGGAGCGAACAGG